rnacentral:rRNA from 1 species
UACGAAGGGGGCUAGCGUUGUUCGGAAUUACUGGGCGUAAAGCGCGCGCAGGCGGCUAUCCAAGUCAGUGGUGAAAGCCCGGAGCUCAACUCCGGAACUGCCAUUGAAACUGUUUAGCUUGAGGAUGAGAGAGGUGAGUGGAAUUCCCGGUGUAGCGGUGAAAUGCGCAGAUAUCGGGAAGAACACCCGUGGCGAAGGCGGCUCUCUGGGACGGUACUGACGCUGAGACGCGAAAGCGUGGGGAGCGAACAGG